rnacentral:rRNA from 1 species
GGAGAAUGUUAUCACGGGAGACACACGGCGGGUGCUAACGUCCGUCGUGAAGAGGGAAACAACCCAGACCGCCAGCUAAGGUCCCAAAGUCAUGGUUAAGUGGGAAACGAUGUGGGAAGGCCCAGACAGCCAGGAUGUUGGCUUAGAAGCAGCCAUCAUUUAAAGAAAGCGUAAUAGCUCACUGGUCGAGUCGGCCUGCGCGGAAGAUGUAACGGGGCUAAACCAUGCACCGAAGCUGCGGCAGCGACGCUGAUGCGUUGUUGGGUAGGGGAGCGUUCUGUAAGCCUGCGAAGGUGUGCUGUGAGGCAUGCUGGAGGUAUCAGAAGUGCGAAUGCUGACAUAAGUAACGAUAAAGCGGGUGAAAAGCCCGCUCGCCGGAAGACCAAGGGUUCCUGUCCAACGUUAAUCGGGGCAGGGUGAGUCGACCCCUAAGGCGAGGCCGAAAGGCGUAGUCGAUGGGAAACAGGUUAAUAUUCCUGUACUUGGUGUUACUGCGAAGGGGGGACGGAGAAGGCUAUGUUGGCCGGGCGACGGUUGUCCCGGUUUAAGCGUGUAGGCUGGUUUUCCAGGCAAAUCCGGAAAAUCAAGGCUGAGGCGUGAUGACGAGGCACUACGGUGCUGAAGCAACAAAUGCCCUGCUUCCAGGAAAAGCCUCUAAGCAUCAGGUAACAUCAAAUCGUACCCCAAACCGACACAGGUGGUCAGGUAGAGAAUACCAAGGCGCUUGAGAGAACUCGGGUGAAGGAACUAGGCAAAAUGGUGCCGUAACUUCGGGAGAAGGCACGCUGAUAUGUAGGUGAAGCGACUUGCUCGUGGAGCUGAAAUCAGUCGAAGAUACCAGCUGGCU